rnacentral:lncRNA from 1 species
AUUUAAUCCAGCUCAGCCAGGGCAGGCAGCCUGACUUAGGGACUGGCCCCACCCAACAGGAAGCCCUCAGGCACUUGUGGGCCCACAUAGGUGGAGUGCCUAGAACCCCUGCAGCUCAGCAAGUGGGUCCUCCUCUGCAGGGCAGGGCUUGGAGGAAGAGCAGGUUAACAAUAAAACAGAGACAUCAUGAAUCAGAGUGGUAAAGAAUGGACAAGCGAAAAAGGAAACAGGAGGAGAAAGAAAGUAAAAGUCUCAGCCCAGGAAAUAAUCAAGAGUAAGACGAGGGUUCACACCACCUGGGCUGAGCUGCCACUGCGUAUCCUUUCUCCUGCUCUUAACUGCAGAGGAUUGAGAGAAACAGCAGCACUGACAAUCCACAG